rnacentral:tRNA from 1 species
GAGGGCGUGUCGGAGUGGUUAUCGGGCAUGACUAGAAAUCAUGUGGGCUUUGCCCGUGAAGGUUCGAAUCAUGUCGCUCAUG